CCUACGGGUGGCAGCAGUGAGGAAUAUUGGUCAAUGGACGCAAGCCUGAACCAGCCAAGCCGCGUGCAGGAAGACGGCUCCAUGCGUCGUAAACUGCUUUUGUCGGGGGGCAAAUCGCGCCACGCGUAGCGUUGUGAGUGUACCCUACGAAAAAGCAUCGGCUAACUCCGUGCCAGCAGCCGCGGUAAUACGGAGGAUUCAAGCGUUAUCCGGAUUUAUUGGGUUUAAAGGGUGCGUGGGCGGUCCGAGAAGUCCGCGGUAAAAGCCCGGGGCGCAACUCCGGCAGAGCCUCUGAUACUGUCGGACUAGAGUCGAGGUGCAGUAGGCGGAAUGUGUGGUGUAGCGGUGAAAUGCAUAGAGAUCGUACAGAACACCGAUUGCGAAGGCAGCGUACCGGAGUAGGACUGACGUUGAGGCACGAAAGCGUGGGGAGCGAACAGGAUUAGAUACCCGAGUAGUC
rnacentral:rRNA from 1 species